rnacentral:rRNA from 1 species
AGUGAACGCUGGCGGUAGGCCUAACACAUGCAAGUCGAACGGCAGCACAGUAAGAGCUUGCUCUUACGGGUGGCGAGUGGCGGACGGGUGAGGAAUACAUCGGAAUCUACUUUUUCGUGGGGGAUAACGUAGGGAAACUUACGCUAAUACCGCAUACUACCUACGGGUGAAAGCAGGAGAUCUUCGGACCUUUCGCGAUUGAUUGAGCCGAUGUCGGAUUAGCUAGUUGGCGGGGUAAAGGCCCACCAAGGCGACGAUCCGUAGCUGGUCUGAGAGGAUGAUCAGCCACACUGGAACUGAGACACGGUCCAGACUCCUACGGGAGGCAGCAGUGGGGAAUAUUGGACAAUGGGCGCAAGCCUGAUCCAGCCAUACCGCGUGGGUGAAGAAGGCCUUCGGGUUGUAAAGCCCUUUUGUUGGGAAAGAAAAGCAGCAGGUUAAUACCCCGCUGUUCUGACGGUACCCAAAGAAUAAGCACCGGCUAACUUCGUG